GAUGAACGCUGGCGGCGUGCCUAAUACAUGCAAGUCGAGCGAACAGACGAGGAGCUUGCUCCUCGGACGUUAGCGGCGGACGGGUGAGUAACACGUGGAUAACCUCCCUAUAAGACUGGGAUAACUUCGGGAAACCGGAGCUAAUACCGGAUAAUAUAUUGAACCGCAUGGUUCAAUAGUGAAAGACGGUUGUGCUGUCACUUAUAGAUGGAUCCGCGCCGCAUUAGCUAGUUGGUAAGGUAACGGCUUACCAAGGCAACGAUGCGUAGCCGACCUGAGAGGGUGAUCGGCCACACUGGAACUGAGACACGGUCCAGACUCCUACGGGAGGCAGCAGUAGGGAAUCUUCCGCAAUGGGCGAAAGCCUGACGGAGCAACGCCGCGUGAGUGAUGAAGGUCUUCGGAUCGUAAAACUCUGUUAUUAGGGAAGAACAAAUGUGUAAGUAACUAUGCACGUCUUGACGGUACCUAGUCAGAAAGCCACGGCUAACUACGUG
rnacentral:rRNA from 1 species